GAGACCUACGGGAGGCAGCAGUGGGGAAUAUUGGGCAAUGGACGCAAGUCUGACCCAGCAACGCCGCGUGAAGGAAGAAGGCUUUCGGGUUGUAAACUUCUUUUAAGGGGGAAGAGCAGAAGACGGUACCCCUUGAAUAAGCCACGGCUAACUACGUGCCAGCAGCCGCGGUAAUACGUAGGUGGCAAGCGUUGUCCGGAUUUACUGGGUGUAAAGGGAGCGUAGGCGGCAAGGUAAGCCAGAAGUGAAAGCCCGCGGCUCAACUGCGGGACUGCUUUUGGAACUAUCUAGCUAGAUUGCAGGAG
rnacentral:rRNA from 1 species